UCCAUCUCUAACCUAAACCGUAAAAAACCAGCCGGCCAUAUAUCCUUUCGUCGGAGCUCACCGGCGGUGAGCGUCACCUACGCCGAUCCGUCCCAAAUUCACACCAUAGAUUCCCCAUGAAUCCCUCUUUCUAACCAUGCCAUUGGUGUCCCUCGAAUCUUUCCCCAUCUCCUCGAAUCUUCAACGGAAGAUUUUCCGGCCACGACGAGACCUACCCCAAAUAACCCCAAAUUAACACCAUGUGAUCGACUGAGCUUCCUCUACCCAACCCCCAUAGCCCUAUCUCUCGAAUCUACCUGGAAUAGCUCGAAUAUCAAAUUGAAGGUUUUCAACCAAAUCCCUAAUGCAAAGUCUCCAUGAUUUCGGACUCUAAUAGCCCUAACCAGGUGUUUUCUUAUGAAAACACAUGGUUAGGGAUAUUACGGGUCAGAAAUUUCGGGAAGAUUUGGAGAAGCAACCACUGGCCGGAUCUUAGUGAGUCCUUUUUUGUUUUUUUUUUGUGUUUUGUUAUUUAGUUUUGCAUGUAAUUCAAGAAGGUUUACAAGUUAAUUUCCGUUUCUUUCUUGGUUUUAAUUGUUUCCGAAUCCUUUCUGCUUUUUAGUUAUCGACGGUGUUUAGUUAAAAUCAGUUGAUUCCUAUUCGUUAUUUGUUAUUUGGGUUCAUAUAUUCAGUGUUGGGAUUGCUAGUUGUUAAUUGCAAAUGCUUGAUUAGUUUUUAUUAAUUGCUUUCAUUAGUUUAUAACUUUGGUUCAGUUUAAGAAUAUCAGCCAGAGUUUAAUGUUCAGGUCAAGUUUAGUUAAGUUGUAAAAAUCAGUAUAGUAUAGGGUUAGUUUAGGGAUUUCAAUAAUAUAGAAUCCCCUAGGAACUUCUAGAUGGGGGGCUUCUAGGUAAUUUGUAAAGAAUAGUAGUGUUUACUUGCGUGACAAGUUAAUAAAUGAGGGGGUAAAACUUAAUUUGAGGGAGGGACUAAGAGGAAAGGAAAUUUGACUAAGUGCUUAUAAAAGGCAAGCAUUUUGCCUUGUUGAGGGGUUUCUUUUUUUGGGAGCUAAAAUUUCCCCUCAAUAGUUUUAUUUCCGGAUCUAAAAUAGGAUUCGAAUCUCAAAAAAAAAAUCAACAAUGCUAAUGUUCCAUUGAUUCUCACUCAUUGUGGUUUGUUUGCUGAAGCUUUUGGAGAGUCACUGGAUUGAUUUCGAGCCUUUUUUGGGUCAGCCAUAGGGUGCUAGGUUCUGGGUUGUGUUCUGUGUUGAAUCUCUUGGUUUUGAAGUGAUUUUGGUCCAAAAUUGUUCCUGAUUGUUGCUUCCCGUGACUGUUGGUUACCACUGGCUGUUACAAUUGCUAAUGCUGACAUUUUCUUCUUCUUACUUCACUUCAAAAUACAGGUACAUGUUCUGAACCUCAGCAUCAUGUAGAAUUUCAGCUGAAAUGAGAAUGAAAUUGAAGCUUUCUAUAGAUCUGUUGUUGAAUAGCCUUAUUGCGUUUAAGUAGAUCUGCUUUCUAUGAUUUGGUUGGUUAUCCAGUGUAGUCAGAAUUUGGACUGUAAUUAGGACUAAUUCUUCGAAGUUGAUUAUUUGUUAGGUGUUGUAAUAUUUAAACCGUUGAGUUGAACCCUCAAAUAUUGAAAGGUUGUUAGUUCAACAGGCUCGUGGAAUUAGAGGGUUGAAAUGAUUUGAAGGUUCAUUUCCUUACAA
rnacentral:lncRNA from 1 species